UACGUAGGGGGCGAGCGUUGUCCGGAAUCAUUGGGCGUAAAGAGCGUGUAGGCGGCCCGGUAAGUCCGCUGUAAAAGUCAAAGGCUCAACCUUUGAAUGUCAGUGGAUACUGCCGGGCUAGAGUCCGGAAGAGGCGAGUGGAACUCCUGGUGUAGCGGUGGAAUGCGCAGAUAUCAGGAAGAACACCAACGGCGAAGGCAGCUCGCUAGGACGGUACUGACGCUGAGACGCGAAAGCGUGGGGAGCGAACAGG
rnacentral:rRNA from 1 species